AAUCAACGCUGGCGGCGUGCCUAACACAUGCAAGUCGAACGCGAAGGAAGACUUCGGUUUUCUGGAGAGUGGCGCACGGGUGAGUAACACGUGGGUAAUCUGCCUUUGGGUGGGGAAUAACGAUCCGAAAGGGUCGCUAAUACCGCAUAACGCAGCGGCACCGCAUGGUGACAGUUGUUAAAGGGGGGGAUCGAAAGACCUCUCGCCUGAAGAGGAGCCCGCGUCCGAUUAGCUAGUUGGUGAGGUAACGGCUCACCAAGGCUUCGAUCGGUAGCCGGCCUGAGAGGGCGGUCGGCCACACUGGCACUGAGACACGGGCCAGACUCCUACGGGAGGCAGCAGUGGGGAAUAUUGGACAAUGGGGGAAACCCUGAUCCAGCAACGCCGCGUGGAGGAUGAAGGUCUUCGGAUUGUAAACUCCUGUUAGGGGGGACGAAGGGAUGUCGGCAAACAGCCGGCAAACUUGACGGUACCCCCAGAGGAAGCCCCGGCUAACUCUGUGCCAGCAGCCGCGGU
rnacentral:rRNA from 1 species